UUUCCUUCCUCCUCCAAGAUUCAAAUCACAAAAAAUGGCACAUAAUAGCUCAAGAACACUCAAAAGUCGAUUAGGGUUUCGUGAAUAGGGUUUGGAGGUGAUGGAGGCUGGAGUGGAUGCCAUAUAAGGUGUUUAAAUAGGGUGCAAACCCUGAAAAUUAGGGUUUCACUAUGGCAGACCUACUCGCCGAGUCGAGGCACCUCGACUCAUCGAGUAGGCUUCAAGUCCCGCGUCCAACAUAUUCAAUCCCUACUCGAUGAGUUUGGGGCCUCCAACUUGUUGAUUCCCUUAACAAAUUUGAAUAUUUUUUAUUUAAAUACGUACUAGGAACUAGGCGUUACACAAUAACCCUACAACAACUAACCUUUCAUCCUUCUUUUAUUGCCUUAAAAUCAAUAUAUAAUCUUUGGAAAGUAGUUGUGUUAUCCAGGUUUUGACUCACAAUAAUUUUAAUUGAAAUACCUGGAUUUGAUCUCAAUAGCUCACCACCAUAACCCUAUACUUUAACAUAGUGGUCACUCAAUCUCCCUUCUAUCAAAGAGAUGACCCUACACUUUGCUCUAUAACACUUUGACCAGGACACAUUUUAGUGGAAUCUGCUUUGCAUAAUUGCCUGUAUUUACUUACACUUCUACUCGGGCUUCCUAAUAAGUUCUUUUAGAAACUGGUUUCUUAACCAUGUUGGACCUAUAAGGUUGUUAUUUUUGCAAUUCCUAACACACCUAUAUUUGUCAACAAGUUUCUUAAUUUGAAACGACGUCUCCGUGUUCAUCCAAGAAACCCUAACAUUAAAUGGACAUUGAAAUUUUUAUGGAUCACUAGCACAUACAAAAACUAGCCUAACAUUGCCAUAUUUCUUAAACUUUAUCUUAUAACCAAUAUAAAUAGCAUGGUUAGUUAAACAUAACUUCAACUGAUGGGGUGAUUCAUACCUCUCUCCCAGAAAUGGUCUCAUCUUGUUCCAUUUAACAUUUGGAUCAUGGGUGUUGUACUCAAACUUAAGCUUAGAAUCUUGGUAACUUUCACUUAAUACUUAUUCAUCAGACCCAUAUACUUCAUCAUACCCACUUCCUUCUCGAAUUAAGCCAAAAUUAUCUUCGUUCUCCACCACAUCAUCUUCAUUUAAGUCAACAUCGUCGUCGAUAUAUUUAAUUUCAGGGAUUGUAAAGUCAUCACCUUCUUCACCAGCUAUGUCGGGACACAAGUUGUUCAAGAAUGCAUCAUUGCAUCUCUUGGUUUGCUUCUUCAAAUCCUUGUCGACUUCAACAUCAAUAGUGUUAAAUCCCAAAUGUCUUCCAUUUCCAAAGAUUGGAAGAUUCGAACUCAUGCCCACAGUUGUCGUCUUCUUCACACAUAAAAAAACCUUAAUUUCUACGGAGAGGAUAUUGGGCUAAUUGUGUUUGACUUACCGUUGAAGGAAUGAGUGUGUGAUGUUUGGUCGACUCACCUUCCACCUAAUCUCAUUUAAUGCCACAUUGAUUUGUUACCGGCUGCAAGAGUGGUAACCAGGUAAACUUAGUCAAUUCGCCGGUUUAUCUAGUAUUUCAUGCUUUUUCAUUAACAUUUAAUAAUUUAGGAUUUUUUUCGUAAAUACAGGCAAAAUAAUAUGACUUAAAUGUUGAUUUCCCUUCUUAUUUCUAUAACAAAUAACACUUUAUAAGUAAGCUUAUAAGGAUUACCACAUUUUUAAUUUUUUCUAAAAAAUGUUGCUAUAGAGAUGUUUGGUUAUGGUUUCAACUUUCAAUAUAAUAACAAAGAUUUACAGAAUCAUAAUAAAAUAAUUAGUUAUUUAACGACAUUUUGAACCAACAAAAAAAAAAGAUAUAUAAAUAAGAGGAAAGUAAACCCCACCUAGCAAGAAUCUAAGGGGCUGUUUGGUAGGAUCUGAAUUUUUAAGAUCUGGAUUUUUAAGAAAUCUGAAUUUCUAAGAGGGUCUGAAAUUUUAAGAGUUGAAUGUUUAACAUGCUGUUUGGUUGGGACAUCUGAAUUGCUGUGCUGAAUUAUAAAAAUGACCAUUUUACCCUUUUGUUUUAUUUUUUAUUAAAUUCAACUAUUUGUUUAGAAAAUAACCUAAUAAAUUUCUUAAAUACGUAUUAACAAAAUAUAAAUACCAUAUAAAAUCCAAAUUUAACAUAAAUCAUAAUUAAACCACACAAAAAGUAGUAUACAUUUUCCAGAAUUGUGCAAUAAACCAAACAAAAAACAUCUAAAGACAUUUCACAACAGAAGUUGAUACAUGAAUUAAUCCUUUCAAAACUCAACUUUCAUUCAACAAAUAUAAUGAAUCUAUAUAAAUCAUCUACCUACAAUUACACAAUACCCCCCACAUUACAUUGCAUCCUUCUUUCCUUGCAAAUUAUCAAGUAGUUCAAUACUUGUUUCUUCAACUGCUUUUAUAAUCAAUUCAUUGAUUAAUCUUGCUUCUUUGUUUACUCCAUUGUUUCUGGUAUCAAACCACAAGUCAACCUGUAUGCGAAUAUUGUAUACAACCCACCAUCAACCAUUAUCCAGCCACCAUAUCCAUUAAUCCAAAAUCCAACAUUACCCUCCUUCACUCUUUCCUGAACCACCGAACACCACCCACACAAACACCAUUCCUACAUUUUACCACCAUCACCACAACCUAUACCGACAAAACCAAAUCACCUAAAAAAGUACACACAAAAAAAUUGACCAUUAACAUCAAAUAUAGAUUACAAUUGAAGAAAUCAGAAACUGAAUAGCAUAACAUAAGAACUGAUUAGCAUAACAUAAGAACUGAUUUGGAGAGUAAUAAAAGAAGAGCAAUCAAUUUUCAGAAGAAGAGAACAAACCUGUUAUCGAUUUCUAAUUUUGGACUUUAGGGCAUAGAAAAUGAUGGGAAGGCUGUUGAGACCAAGCAAACGGGGUUGCAAGGCUGCUGGGACGUCGACGAUCGGCUGGGCGACGUCGUUUCAGGCGGUCUUCGGCGACAGGAACUAUGCGAAUGAAGCAGACUCGAAUCGGGGAAGAAAACACAACUCAAAAAUCAGAAAUUGCUGCUGAGACGAAACAAACAGGGUUGCAACACUGCUGGGACGUCGACGAUCGGUUGGAUGGCAUCGUUUCAGGCGGUUGUCGGUGACGAGAACUAGGCGACGGAAGCAGACGCGACUGGGGAAGAAAACGAAGAAGGAAGACGCAAGUACAGGAGAAUAGGAGGCGGGUAUGUCCGACCGUGUGGUUUAGGGGCAAAACAAGAUGCACGUUUUAUUUUUUUUAUUUUCAGACUUUGUUCAGGAUCUGAAAAAUUAAGAGAUGUUUUUGAUUUUAAGAGGUAAAAAAUAAGACCCAAACAAACGAUGUGAAUUUAAAAUUUUCAGACAUUACCUCUUAAUUUUACAAUUAAGAGGUAAACGAACGGGACCUAAAGGAAACAAAGUACAAGUUUAAAAAAGUAAAACAAUGACCAUUACAUACGACUAAUGGAUAUGAAAUCCAAUUUGGCCAUUGGACACCAUUUUUUUUUAUUUCUAUGCUUAAACCAUAAGAAAGUCGAUGAUAUAAUAAUAUCAAGAACUUUCGUAGUACACACCUUUUUGUUGUUGAAUAUUUUUUCAUCCAUUGCCUUCCAUAUAGACCAUAAAGUCUCGUAGCAAUGACUCUUAAAAUAAAUUAGACUAGUCAAAUUUUAUUAGAACCCCUCCCCCGAUUUAUUUAUUACAAAGUUUAUAAUUAUUAACCCUAAAUUUUAUUAAAUCAAAAGAAAUCACCUCAGUUUAUUUUUCUUCGAUUUGCCAAAAAAAAAAAAAAGCGAGUCAAGUGAUAGAAAGUCGUACACCAGUCACAAAAAUUGAAGAGCACACAACACAAGCCACUGAAAUUUGAAGAGCGGGCGAUCGGAGAAAAUCAUAGCCGCCGCACAUACCCCCUCUUCCGCUUUCUCUUCAAAAUUAUUUUCAAAAAGGGAAGAAAAGAAGCAAAAAGGGUGGGAUGUCAGACCUAGACCGGCAAAUCGAGCAGUUGAAGAACUGUGAACCACUCAAAGAGUCUGAAGUCAAGGCGCUCUGCUUGAAAGCCAUGGAAAUCCUCGUCGAAGAGAGCAACGUUCAAAGAGUCGAUGCUCCUGUCACUGUAGGUUUACCUUUUUACCUCCUCUAUUCAGAUUCAUGUACACAAGUUGCUAUUGUAUGUUUUCUAUGUGCUUUUUGUUGCUAAAAUACUAUGUAUCCAUCUAGACAGAACUCUGGCGACCGAUUUAGGGUUUUAUGUGUGUUCAGUUUAUGAACCGUGAAAUUUUGAUAAAGCUGAGUGUUCAUCGAAUUCAUUAGCUGGGACCAUGUUUCGAUCCGUAUCUUGCAUUUCUAAACUAUCGGUUGAUUUGAUUCUAAAAGUCACAUGUGUAGUUUCUGUAAGGACUGUGAAGGAAGGGGCCUGUUAAUUUGGUAGAAACGUCAGGAGUACUUUCCUUGCUUUCAUAGUACACCCUUAAACUAUAUCCUUAGGGUUUUUUUGGGCGUUCGAUUAAACUUGGUAGACUUGCAGGUAUCUGUAGAAAACCAGUUAUCAAGGACUAUUCCUUGUUUUAAGCAACUUAUUAUAUGAUUCAGACUCUUCAAGUGUCAACAGUCAUAUUGAAAACACUCAUCCAAACACCCCCAAAAUUUGAAGGCCAUAGGAUAUUCUUUACCAGUAAAGGUUGGAAAGUGUACUAACAUGUACUCCAACUCCAAGCUACAAAUUGAAGGCCAGAUUUGAUGAUUAAUGAACAGAAGAGAAACAAUGUCAUGUCUGGUGUCAUGCACAAGUCAAAUCAACUUCAAAGGAAGAACCAGAAACCUGAUGUCACUGUUCUCAAUGCAAUUUAAGGGCUUCAAUUGUUAAAGACAGUUGAGUCUAAUGGAAAUUAUUUAAGCCACAUAACCAGCUUGCUGCUACUUCUUAUUUGACACUGCUGCUUGUUUAAAUCAUUUCUCCUUCUCAAUGGCACUUAUUAGUAAUUUCAAUUUUGUUGUUAUUGACCCUUUUUUUUUCCUGUUGUAUAGAUAUGUGGCGACAUCCAUGGACAGUUUUAUGACAUGAAAGAGCUAUUCAAGGUAGGCGGUGAUUGCCCAAAGACUAACUACUUGUUUCUUGGAGAUUUUGUGGACAGAGGCUUCUAUUCUGUAGAGACCUUUUUGCUUUUACUUGCCCUCAAGGUAAGUUCUACUUCUUAAUCAAAUUUCUCACUUCAAAAUAAGCAAGUAUUGCAUUGUCAGAUGUAAAAUGUCGAUUAUAAAUAUCUAUGCUUACAAACAUGUGUAUAUGGGAUGUAUGUUUCUAGUAUUGCUCAUAAUUUAUGUUAAUUAUAUAGUCCUUUCAUAGUUUCAUUAAGGUUUAGUUUUCGAAGCAUUCAUAUUAUUUUCUUUUAGCUGUUGUGUAAUUAAGAAGUGUUGUAAUUAAUUAGGUAAGGUAUCCUGAUCGGAUAACAUUGAUUAGGGGGAAUCACGAGAGCCGACAGAUCACACAGGUUCCAUUAUGUACUUGAUUUUCAUCUUGAUUUUUUUUAAUAUAUAUAUAUUUUAAAGCUCACCGCUAUUCUCUGUUGUAGGUGUAUGGAUUCUAUGAUGAGUGUCUGAGGAAGUAUGGUUCUGUCAAUGUUUGGAGAUAUUGCACCGAUAUAUUUGAUUAUCUAAGGUCUGCUAACUUCUUGGACUUCCUUUCACUUAUUGUUUUAUACUAGUAAAUGCGAAAAAAUAACAACACACUUUCAUUUAUCUGUGUAUUAUAUAGCAUCAAACUUUUAUUAAGUAGAAGGCUUAUACGUAAACUUUGACAUUGUUGCAGUUUGUCUGCGCUUAUUGAGAACAAAAUAUUUUCAGUUCAUGGUGGUCUGUCUCCCAACAUCAACACAUUAGAUCAGGUGUGAAGAGUGUUCCAUAAGAUAACUAAAUCUUUGUUUUAGUGUAAUCGAUGAAAUGAAUAAAACAAGUAAGAAAGAGUGUGAUUUUUGCAGAUUCGGACAAUUGACCGGAAGCAAGAAGUGCCCCAUGAUGGUGCCAUGUGUGACCUCCUGUGGUCAGACCCGGAGGACAUUGUUGAUGGGUGGGGUCUGAGUCCACGUGGUGCUGGUUUCUUGUUUGGUGGCAGUGUUGUUACUUCUUUUAACCACACCAAUAACAUCGAUUACAUUUGUCGUGCACAUCAAUUGGUAAUGGAAGGUUUUAAAUGGAUGUUUAACAACCAGAUUGUUACUGUCUGGUCAGCCCCAAAUUACUGUUACAGGUAAUAAAACCCUUUCUUUUGCUUCGUCUAUCUCCGCUCCCUACUUUUCCUAAUUCAUUUUUUACGCUUCCACAGGUGUGGUAAUGUGGCUGCUAUUCUUGAACUGGAUGAGAAUCUUAACAAACAGUUCCGAGUAUUUAAAGCAGCUCCACAGGUUUGUCUUCUGCUUCUGCUUCUGCUUCUGCUUUAUCAAUAAUAUUCAAAAUGCUGCCAUGCCAUUUAAUAAUAUUUAUGCCCCUAAUGAUGACUAUACGAAUCACUACUACAGAAUAUUAUCAUGUUAGUGUUUGGUAUGAUGAAAUCAAUCAGGGAGGGAAUGGAAUGAACCAUUUUUUAAGUUUUCAUUCCUUAAGUAAAAGCUGUUUUUCUUUUUAAAUCAUUUCAUGAUUUUAAAAAACCCCAAAAAUUUAUUCCAUUCCUACAACAAAUCAAACAUGAUUACAUUACCUUGUUCAUACCAUUUCUUCGUUGUUUCAUUCCAUCUGUUAUUGGAAUGAAUGUGAUCUGUCAAAGGAAUUGGAAUUUGAUGGAAUCAUAAUCCAUCAUGCAUUUGGCAAUGAAAAUUCAAUUUUAAUUUUAAAAUAUGUUUAUUUAUAUCUAAAUAUUUUUUUUGGUUAUUAUAUAUAUAUAUANNNNNNNNNNNNNNNNNNNNNNNNNNNNNNNNNNNNNNNNNNNNNNNNNNNNNNNNNNNNNNNNNNNNNNNNNNNNNNNNNNNNNNNNNNNNNNNNNNNNNNNNNNNNNNNNNNNNNNNNNNNNNNNNNNNNNNNNNNNNNNNNNNNNNNNNNNNNNNNNNNNNNNNNNNNNNNNNNNNNNNNNNNNNNNNAUAUAUAUAUUAUAAUUAUAAUGAGGGUAUUUUAGUCUUGUAAUAAACCAAGGAAAUUUGAAGGAUUCCGACAGAGUGUAUUCCGUGCGUGUAAUUGGCAACCCCAUGGAAUGGAAUCUGGAAUGAAUUCUGAUUCCAUCAAUUUCCAUUAAACACGGCCUUAUUUUUGGAAUAAAUGAAUAUGGUGAUAUUGAAAUACAGGAAUCAAGAGGCGCCCCGGCUAAAAAACCACCACCAGAUUACUUUGUAUGAGAUAUGAAUAUGAUUACUGGAAUCCAUGAAUCUCCAUUAUCUGUUGGGUCUGGUAUGCAUUUACUUACUAGGAAAGAAGGAAGGAAGAAGAUGAUUGAUUGUAUAUUUUGCAAUGAAGAAGAAGAAGAAGAAGAAGAGAAGAUAGUUUUGGUCAUGAAACCAGCGGAUCUGCUGACAGAUUGGGCAGUGGUUUGGUGUGGUGGAUUCAUCUCACGAGUGAGUGUUUGUUAAGAAAUAGUAGUUAGUGUUACUGUUAAUGUGUGUUAGAUUUUGUAUUGUGUACCCAUUACCAUUAUUUGUGCAUCAUCAUCACAUCAUGUACACAAAAGGUGUGUCAUUAAUUACAACACCAUACAGAUUUACAAAACUGCCACAAACCAUAUCAUAUCAUAUGCUGCUUCAAACCAAACUAAACUAAACUCUGCCAUACUCAAGUUGUGGCAUUAUAAAUCUGUCUUUUUCUGUUUACAUUACACUUGUUUAUGCAUCCAACUUACAACACUCUUUACCAAUUUAUCCUCACAUGUUUCGGUUUGUUAUAGCAAAUUAGAACAUGAUAGCUUCUUAUAAAUAAAUUGGUAAAAAGAUACAACUUGGAACAUUUAGAUCUUGUAAUCUGUCUUGGUGAUAUGUGUGUGCAACAUGGGAUUGACUUUGUAAGAUGAUUUAGGUCAUCUAUCUUGUUUAUUUAUUUAUUAUAUUAAUCCCAUUGUUUAUUGCUAAAAUUGUUACCUUUGUCGUUCUUACAAGUUAUUACCAGUUCAUAAGAUCACCUAGGUUAAUGAUUUUCCUGUUUUGGUAAAUUAAUUAAACUUGUGGUCCAUUUUUAAUUAUUUUGUCAAUGUUGCAAAAUAAUUGUGAUGGAUGUGUAUGUGUAUGUAUGUAUUGGAACUUUCACUAAUACCGUUUUCUAAAGCCUCACAUGCUCUAUCUGUGGAAGAAUGGACAAGUUAGUUAUUAAUUGUAAAAAUGAAAAUGGAAAAUGAUAUAUUUACGUUGACUGAAGUAUGUAGGACACCAUGAGUUUGGAUCAUGAGACAUUAAGUACUCAUAUCCCCCAUAUCUAUGGCUUGAACCAAUUUUGCUGCGUCACUUUGUUAUCCUAUAAAACCAACAAAAAUGGAAUAUUGGCCUAAUUAAAAAAAAAAACAAUAAUAGACUAAAUAAAACCAAAACUAAUAGCUGGUCGAGUUUAAGUGACAUUAACCCUUUUUUUAAAAUGAUAUCUCCAUAUAUUAAAUCUAAAUCCUAAACCUUGUUAUUCCUUUUCUACCACUUAUCAAAUAUCCUAACUUAGUGCGAAUAAUACGGUGUUAUUCCUUGUCUUAUAGAUUUAUACAUCUAUUAUUAAUCCACGAAGUCAACAGUAUCGUCUCGAAUAUACGUACAAAAGUAGGUAACGUAUAUCGCUGAUUUGGUUGAUUGUUUGCAAAUGUUUAUCCAUGUUCGAUAUUGACGCCAUUUAUGGCCUGUGUCAGAUCCCAUGGUGAACAUCACGUUUGAACGUAACUCCAGCUCUAGGACGGUGUGGCUCAUUUUCUUCAAACUAAACUAGACAAACAAGUUGAUUUGACUUAAAAAAAAACAGUUUUGUAAAUUCAAUCUAUCCUUUCAGUUUUAUCUGAAUUCUUCAUGAAUCAUGAGUCGAAGAGUUUUUAUCAUCUUCGUGAUACCCUUGUUGUUGAUUUCUUCAUCUACGCAUGUUGAAUCAGGUGAAGAUGGGUAUAUAUCUUUUGGUAUUUCUGAAAAGGGUCUUGAAUUUGCUAAGGAUUUACUGAUAAACACUGCGAUUUCAUCUUUGAUUCCUCUUCAAUUGCCCAAAAUCGAACAAAAUGUUCAAAUCCCACUUGUGGGUAAAGUUCGUAUGGUUCUGUCGGAUAUUGUUAUAUAUCAGGUUAACGUUCCCACCUCGAUUGUUCAACCUGGGGAGAUGGGUGUUACCAUAGUUGCGUCUGGUGCGACUGCGAAUUUGAGUUUCGAAUGGAGUUAUUCUUAUAGCACUUGGUUGUUUGAGUUUUCCGAUAGUGGGGUCGCCUAUGUUCAGGUAGAUAUUGCAGCAAAAUUGGUUUGAAUUCGCUUCUUGGCUUUAGGUGAAUUUACUAGUUUUGGUUUGUACUAUUUGUUGUAGUUCAAGGGGUGUUUAGUUAUGCAUCUCAAAACUGAACUGAUUAUAUGAGGUUUUUAGUGCUUAAUAACCUACUGCUUUAAAGGUGAAACAACUAGUUUUGAAGCUGCCAAAUGCUUAUUUAUGCACACUCUUUUACCCUUUUCCAGGUUUAUGAAACAAUGGUUUUUUUACAUGAAGUAUGCAAGCACGUUUCAUUUUGUUGUCAAUAUAUACUAACAUCUUACUUGCAACAUGUUUCAUCGGUUAGUUUAUUAUCUGUUCACAAACACCUCAUUAAGAUUAUGGUGUAGCUUAACUGUGAAGCAUUUUGACUUAUAAGAAGAAUCUUCUGUUGUCAUAAUCGACAAAAUAAUUCAUAUGGGUUUAAAGAGAACAUCAAUAUGUAUCCACUUAAGUGUUUAAAUGAAAAAAUAAAACAGUAAGAUGUUGCAUAUUUUUGGUACUAAAUUCAAACAUAGUUCAUGUAAAAAACCACUUGAUGGAAAGGUGAAAUAUUGUUGCAAUUAACCCUUUUGAAUAGUGGGCUUGAUGCUAAUACAAAACUGACUAUCCAAGAAGAGUAAAAGUAGUUAUAUACCUUUAGAAUGCUAACAUUAUUGUUUGUGGGGUUGCUCUUGCUUUUAUUAAAUCUACACUGCCUCUUUUUUUUCUUUUCUUGUUUAGUAGGAAGCUAGCUAAUGAAUAGUGUGCGUGUUAAGGUUGAAGGUAUGGAAAUAGGGAUGACUCUUGGUUUAAAGAACCAACAAGGGACUCUCAGAUUGUCUCCUGAAGACUGUGGAUGCUAUGUUAGUUAUAUCUCCAUUAAGUUAGAUGGAGGGGCAUCUUGGCUUUAUCAAGGGUAUUAUCCUUUUUAUUUGUUACAAUUUCAAGAUCAUUCAUAACAUUACUCUAUUCAUGUGUUUGUAAUUGUAUGCUAAUAGAAUCAGAAAUGCUUUCCCUUUUGCAAAAUUUUGCCAUUAGUAAUGAUUAUUUUGUCUAGAUGUAUAUUGAUAGCAAGGCUAAAUUAGGUUGCCAUUUUCUGCAAUUUGUAUAAAAUGCAACGAAGAAUCAUCCGUGGCAUUUUGUCCAUUAUCGUGCAUUCUUGCCAAGUAUGAUGUUGAUUUUGUAUUUUUGCAACAAGUAUGGUUGAAAGAAAAGGCAAGUAGGAUGUUUUGGAAAGUCUUAACUUUGUUUUAUUGACCUCUCUCAUAUUAUCCUUUUUGCAGAAUAGUUGAUUAUUUUGAAGAUGACAUAGUAUCAGCAGUUGAAGAUACCAUCACCAACAAAGUCACGGAUGCAGUGAUAAAACUGGAUUCAGUUUUUCAAACAUUCCCAAAAGAAAUCAGUUUUGGCAAUAUCACUGCUUUAAAUGUCACCAUCACGGAGGGCCCCACCAUGACCACUACUUCUCUUCUCAUUGGCAUCAAUGGCUUAUUUACACAAAUUGACCCGAAAGCAACUUUGGUGGGUCAUUACACCAACAAUUUACCAUCAACAGGAACAGGAACAGGGUCGUGUAGUAACUCAGAGAAGAUGGUUGGAAUUUCAGUACACGAAAACGUUCUUAACUCAGCAUCAACGGUUUACUUCAAUGUAAGCCCUCGUACUUUGAAGAGAUAUGCAUAUUGGGUCCUUGUGUUUUUCCUACUCUCACUAGUUGUAUAUGUUCUUGUUUCAGUCAAAGAAGAUGUAUUGGGUUGUUGAUAACUUACCGGAUCAGAAGAUAUUGAACACUGCCGAAUGGAGAUUUAUAAUUCCAAAGUUGUAUAAAGAAUACCCGAAUGAUGACAUGAGCUUCAAUUUCACUGUAUUGUCACCUCCACUCAUACAAAUCCAAAAUCAGGGUAUUGUUGCUACAGUAAACUCGGAUGUUUUUAUCAAUGUUGUGGAUGCUGGUGAAGUUAUUCCAGUUGCAUGUAUCUCUAUGGUAUGUCAACUUUAAAUCACUGUAAUGUAAUGUUUGUUUUAAAAAGAGUUGAAUUCAUCGACUCAUAUGGAUGGUAUUUUUAAUUUUUACAGGAGAUUGAAGCUUCUGGAUUUGCUGGGAUCAUAUCGACCACUCUUAAUGGUGGCAUUAGCUUAAGCAAACUCACAAUGUCUCUGAAAUGGAGUAAAAUUGGCACCCUGCAUAUGCUUCUUGUUCAGGUACAUUCAUCUUAACACUGUAAAUGGGGUCUUGAUAUCAUUCUUCAUUGUUUAAAAAAUAUAUAUGUAUAUUUGUGACUUUUGUAUUUCAAUUAAAAUGUUUUGGAAUUUUUGCAGUCUGUGAUGUCAAGGCUUCUGAAAUCGAUCAUUGUACCGGUUGUAAAUUUGCGUCUAAGGGUAGGCUACUCGUUACCUGAUUUCCAUGGAUAUGAGCUUCAGAAUGCUUCGAUUAUCUAUCAUGAUUCAAAAAUCCUUGUUUGUAGUGAUAUUGCACGUGCAUAUGAUGACUACAUUCCUCAUCGAUUUUAUUAUGAAUAAAAAUUAAACAUUCUUGUAAAUGUGUAUCGUUACAAUUACAACAGUGUUUGUGAUCAAGAUGUCACGACAAAAAGUCUCGGGAUAAUAGAGUCUUUGUAUAUAUAUUGCAAUAGUAUUUUAUUAGAAUUUAUGUUGUAAAUGCUAUAAUCUAGUUGUACAUUUGGAGACCAACAUCAAAUAAAUACAAGUCUGCAGUGUUGGAGAAAAUGGAUAGGAAAUUAAGCACCAGUGUUUAGAGUGGUUGAAUGGUUAAACAAUUAAAUUAAACAAAAUUCUUAUUUUGUUAAUUUUUUGUUUAAAAUUGAAUUAAAAUAGAAAAUUAAACACAAUUUCCGUUACAAAUUUUGUGUUUAAUAUUGAUUUAAUUCAAUAAAUAAUGUGUUGUUUUAUAAUCAUCAUAAAUUGUAACUAGAAGGAAUGCCCUCGCUUCGCUACGGGUUGGGGAAAAUUUGGGGAAAAUUGCAAAACAUGUUUAUAUUUGGCAUUUAGUUCAUNNNNNNNNNNNNNNNNNNNNNNNNNNNNNNNNNNNNNNNNNNNNNNNNNNNNNNNNNNNNNNNNNNNNNNNNNNNNNNNNNNNNNNNNNNNNNNNNNNNNGUUAUCUACAAUAAUUUUCUUAACCACACAAAUCUUCCACCUCUUAGUAGAUGUUUGUUUAAAAUAAGUAGAAAUAGACAAAAAAAUAUUCAAGGCAUUUUCUUCAAUCAUACACACAUAACCAUAUACAUAAAACAGCACACACGUUGUAUGAUGUGUGUGGUUGUGCUUAAGUGGUUGUGUGUGGCGAAGUGUCUGGCCUUAAAACCACGAUUGGAGUAUAUUUUCAAAGUACAAUGCUAUAAUUACAAAUAAAGUACGAUGCUUUAAUGAGAUUACCUUUUCAAAGUACUCUACUCUUGAUAGGUAACCUCCUUAAGAUAAUUAUCCACCAGAAAAAAAGCCAUAUUGCUGCAAAAGACAAAAAAAAAGUUAGAAUGUUGAGUCAAAGUGCUAGGCUUUACGUAAGAAACAAUGAGUUCUAAAAACUUUUUUUUUUUUUUUUUUUUAAUUUGAGUUUCAUUCACACCACUUACAUGCUAUUCAUCUGAAAAUGUAUAAGCAAUUAAAAAUCUAAAAACUUAAUUUUGUACCUUUUCAACAUUUUCUCUUCACCCCUUACAAUAGUAUAACAUUUUCCUUGCCAAUAACUUCAAAAACAGUUUAUGUCCAUGUAAUGUAUUUUUGGAUUGAGUCCAUUAAAAACUUUUUUGCAAAUUUGGUCCUGAUUUCAACUUUUUUAAUGUUUUUGGUCCAUCUCACUCCCACCCAAUGUUUUAAAAACCGGUUUUUUAGUUGAACCGGUAUGGUAACCGGUCCCCGGUUCAACCGGUUCGACCGCCGGGUUAUAUUUUUCAUGUUUUUUUCUAUUUACCUACACUUACAUACAUAUAGAAAUUAUGAAUUUGAUGUUUACAAGUUCAAACAUUAAAAAUACACAUAAAAAUAAGUUGUAGAUGAAUCCAAAUACAUUAAAUAAUACAUAACCAUAAGUUUUAGUGUUUUUACAUCAAUCUAUAUACGUCAAAAAGAAAAUAAAAUAUAAUAUCGAAACGAAAUAUAGUUUUUGAUGAAUACAAACACAUCAAAAUUUUUUAUAACAUUUACCAUAUGUUUUUAUUUAGAGAAAACUAAAUUGAUUUGAAAAAAAUCAUCAAAGUUUAUUAUGUAAAUUGUUCUUUUUCAUGUGUUUUUAUUCAGUUUAACCGGUUCAACCAGUUUAUUUUGACUGAUCCAACCGGUUUUUUCUAAAAACCGGCCGGUUCAAUCCGGUUCAGAAAUCAAUGUAAAACCGUUGAUAGUUGAACCGCUCCCUCUCCCAGUUCCCGGUCCAACCNCCGGUUCGACCGGCCGGUUCAAACUGGUUUUUAAAACAUUGCUCCCACCAUUAACAAAACAAUAUUAAAUCCACUUAAAAUGACCAUCUUACCCCUAUAUAUAACUCUUGCACCUUGAAGCCUCCAAAGGUGACAAAGUGAAAGUCCAUUCAACCGGUAAUUGAAGACACCAUAGCAAUGCCAAUUUUAUCCUCCUUACCACACUGCACCUACAUACAACUUCAUUUCCAUUCGUGAUAUAAAAUGAGUUCAUUUCCAUUUGUUGGUAAUAAAAGGGUAUUUUUAUUUAAUUAUACUUCAAAUCCAUAAAGUAAAAAACAAAAAAGAAUAAAAAAAUAACAGGCAUUUGCAAAGCUUGUAGACCAUGUAAUUCUUCAAAUUUUAACCCUCCAAAUUAAUAAGAAAACGAUAAAGAUUGGAUUACUUACCAAAAGGUUAAUGAUUAUCUAGUGUUUUUGCUCAUCAAAUCUUAUAUUUCGGAUACAAUGGGAAAAUUGUAAAAUAUGUAGACAUAUAUGACCUUGGAAUUGAAAAAGUAGAAGCCAAAGUUCUUAUGUAUGAAAAAAAUCAAAAAGGAAGAGAAAAAAAAAUGAUUAAGGUAAAAAAAAAAAUUAAACAUAUAUUCAUUGUGAAUACAAUAUGCAUGAUACUUUUCUUCAUUUUUUAUAUUUAGAUUGAAAAUGACAUGAAAAUUCAUCACUUUGUCAGACAAAAUAUACCGGUAAAUUUUACAAUUUAAGUCAAAAUUGAGUUGAAAUAUCACCUAUUUGUCCAUAAAAGUCAGAAUUUGCCUUUUGUGUCCAUUCCGUUAGUAAAAAAAGUAACAUAUAACAUUGAAGUUUGCAGACCAGGUACCUUAACUUAGUUGCUGUCAAACAACAGAGCCAAAUAGUACCAACAAUUGAAAAUUUAUCAAAAAUAAAUGCAAGUCGGUUAAAUAGACCAUAAAUAAGAACAAAAAAAAAUGAUAAACCAGAUCAAAUACCGAUAAAAAAAGCCCAUAGCUUUACCGAAAGCACACAAUAGCUUGAUUCAUGCACCUAAAUUAAAUUCAUCUUUCCCAGAUCGUGAAAAUUGAUGAUUCUGUUCAGCAGAAAACCAAAACAUCAUAAAAAUUUUCUAAGAAAACAUUUGUUUUCCAUGAGAGGUUAAUGUAUUUCAUCACCAAAAAGUUGACAAUUUCACAAUACUUUACAAACAAACGUAUAUAGAUAAUUCCAAGAACAAUUCUUAAACAAAAUUUAAACAAAUCGAACCUGGAAUUUUGGAAGUCGGAUUCAUGAUCCGACGAAUCUGAAUCUCCUCUUAAGAAUAGAAGAUAAAGGAAAAUCGGAAGCAAAGAGAUUUGGGAGAAAUCGAUUAUUUGUACAGAGUAUAGAUAGACAAAGAGAGCAGUGAGAGUACCCCAUUGAUUGCGGUGUUGAUGAUGACAGAGUUUUGGCUUUGAAGAGGUGUCGCUUCUAUUAACAGAGGAAGACAGAUAGGGAGCACCACCAUCACCAGCGCCGAUGUGCGUUGCUGUUUUUUCCUGCUUCCCUUUCAACCUCGUCCAGUCUAUCUAUCUUGGGCGUUAUUUUCUAGUCAUUCAAAACACACACAAUCUUGAACAACAAAAUUACACAUACCCAAAUCAGAUUUAAGGCGAAAGCUCCAAACCUAGAGAAACAUCAGGGCGAAUGGAUUGCGAUGCACAUUAAGAAGCAGAGAAAGUUCGACAAUCAGCGUACCAUAUGGAGCCGGGGUGGGAAAGCGGACAGCGGGCACUUACAGCUGCGGGACCGUCAUGGUUUUCUUCCUUGUCGGGUCUAGACAAUUCAAAUCGGAGCAAUUGGAUGUCAAAUUUGGGCCUAGACGACAUGACCAACUGUAAUCGAGGAUUUGGAGAAGAUGGAGAUGAAGCGGAGGGUACAAUCGGCAGUGAGGUGGUUUUAAGUCUGAGUCAUUGGGUUAAGAGGCGGUGAAGGAAACGUUGGAACUGAGUAGUUGCCGCGGAUGACAGGUGUGAACAUACGUGUGAAAGAACACGUGUCCACAAACAUAUAUACAAUGUGACAAAAAACGACCUACUGCAAAGAGCAACCCAAAUGAGAUAGAAGUGAACCCACAUCAAUAAAUAAG
rnacentral:lncRNA from 1 species